rnacentral:rRNA from 1 species
GAUGAACGCUAGCGAUAGGCCUAACACAUGCAAGUCGAGGGGCAUCACAUGAAGUAGCAAUACGGAUGGUGGCGACCGGCGCACGGGUGAGUAACACGUAUGCAACCUGCCUUCAACAAGGGGAUAACCCGUUGAAAGACGGACUAAUACCCUAUAACACAGGGGUCCCGCAUGGGAAUAUUUGUUAAAGGACAACCGGUUGAGAUGGGCAUGCGUUCCAUUAGCUAGUUGGCGGGGUAACGGCCCACCAAGGCAACGAUGGAUAGGGGAACUGAGAGGUUUAUCCCCCACACUGGUACUGAGACACGGACCAGACUCCUACGGGAGGCAGCAGUGAGGAAUAUUGGUCAAUGGACGCAAGUCUGAACCAGCCACGUCGCGUGAAGGAAGACGGCCCUACGGGUUGUAAACUUCUUUUAUACGGGAAUAAAGUGCCCCACGCGUGGGGUUUUGCAUGUACCGUAUGAAUAAGGAUCGGCUAACUCCGUG